rnacentral:rRNA from 1 species
UACGUAGGGUGCGAGCGUUGUCCGGAAUUAUUGGGCGUAAAGAGCUUGUAGGCGGUUUGUCGCGUCUGCCGUGAAAUUUCGAGGCUCAACCUCGAACUUGCGGUGGGUACGGGCAGACUAGAGUGUGGUAGGGGAGACUGGAAUCCCUGGUGUAGCGGUGAAAUGCGCAGAUAUCAGGAGGAACACCGAUGGCGAAGGCAGGUCUCUGGGCCACUACUGACGCUGAGAAGCGAAAGCAUGGGGAGCGAACAGG